CUCCCGCACUUUCUUCAUUCGUCCUCCCAUCCUCAGUUUCCCAUUUCGCCAAUUCUUUCAACUUUUCUUCCCUUCAACCUCACAGACAAUUCAAUCUUUUUUGGCUCCCCUUUGGAAUACUACUCUGUUUCUUCCAAUUAUAUACAGGAUGAACUCCGCCAGAUCGUUUGCACUUCCAAUUAUCGGUUUCAUCAUGUUGGCGCUUUUUGAAUUGAGCCGUGGACAAAGCAUCACGGCCCCUUCCCCUGCACCAAUCGGCCCUCCUUCUAAUGAUGGCACUGAAAUUGAUCAAGGGGUUGCCUAUGUUCUUCUCCUGGUGGCGCUGGCUAUUACAUACUUGGUUCAUUGAGCUUAAUCUUUCUUCUCGGCCCCAAUUCUUUUUUUUUUUUAGAAAUUACUAGUAAAUUCUUUAUGUAUUUUCUCCAUUUGUUUGGACGGAGAUAUGUGACAUUUUUUGUACUUCUGUCUACGCUUGUAAAGAUAUUGGUUCAGAGGUAUAAUUAAAAAGAAGAAGCAUUUCUGGCGAUAA